GAGGUUGACAGCAGAUGAAGAACUGACAACGCAUGACUGCACAGCUGUGUUCAGGGCCACGUGUGUGCGGCCAGGACUCCGGUCCUGCAUCAGGAAGCGGAAGAGGGAAGAUCUGGAUGGGACUGAAGAGAGAUUCUUCAUCUCAUCCGCGCGUGGAAGAAUACACAAUCCCUCCAAUGACCUCCGACGGCUGCACAUAAGGUAUGGCGUCAGACCAUGGGUGACCAGCCAGAGAGCACGCCGGGCCUUCGAGACAGCCACCAAGAGUCUGACUGACACAGAAGUAUCUGGUGGCUGACUACGUAACACAUUCGACUGCUACAGCGGAGAAACAUUACCGCGUGAAGCGGGCGGACAACGCAGUGAGGGCUAGUCAGCUCCUGGAUUCGCUGGCUGGUCAGUCAACCACUGAUCCUUCAGAAGGGGAAUCCAGCCUGUAGCAUUGCUCGCGGUGCUGCCCAGCAGAAAGCAGACACGACGGAUCUGCAAACGGAUCUUGAGUCAGCGUACGGCCGACUUGUCGAACAGCACCCGGUGACUCUGGGGGGUGAGGCGCCAGAUAAGACUCUGCACGCUGAAAUCUCAGCUAGCUUUCAGCGGAAGCUGUACGAGCAAUUGUUUGAAGGCCCAGAUGAAACUGCACAAGCAGCAUUUUCACUGUAUUCACAAGUAUUUUUUGAAACUAUAUUUAAAGAUAUUUACCAAGUAACAUGAAAGAUUGUUAGUUAAGACUAUACUUGACAACUUUGAACAUGGCAUGUUUUCUUGAUGGCGCCCUUUGGCCCUCGUCUACCCAGUGAGGAAAAGGUCAGCAAGUGGAGGACCAACAUACCCAGUGCAGCCCAGUUCGUGAAGAAUGGAAGCCCCCUGGAUCCAUGGACACAGCAAUGGACGCUAAACAAAGCCGGACACGCACCAGGACCCAGAAGUGAAAGGACUUCUUGUGACAGAAGAUGAAGGGCAAGGGCAUUAUUGCAACGUAAAGAUUUCUGGCUGGCGCGGUGGUGUGUGACCAUCACGGGCAGGUCAUCACAGCCUCAGAGGGACACAGAGCUCACAGCACUGUAAGUGUGGAGGACGGUCUUCAGGUUUUUUUCGAGAACAUGAAUGGACAGGCUAUGUGCAUCUAUCAAGACUCUAAAAUCAUGA